AUAUUUCGACAUUAAUUAUGUCAUCAUCAGGAAUUAUGUCAGCCUCGGCAUUGCACUUGGCUGAGGUUGAGCCUUGCGAUUCCCCCAAAUGUGGGGAACUCGGGUGUAUAAUUUUAUUUUUUAUUUUUAUAAUUUAUGGUAGCGGGGGACUGCGUUCGCGCUAACCCCUA